rnacentral:lncRNA from 1 species
GAUCAAUUAAUAUCUCACAAAGUACAUAUAAUAACAACUACAAGCUAUUACAACAUUGAUAUACUAUAAUAUUAAUGACCAUGAUCUACAUGACUAGUGUCUGUCGAUCUUGCCAAGAUCUUUUGAUAACUACUAGCUAUUACAACAUUGAUAUACUAUAAUGACUAUGAUCUACAUGACUAGUGUCUGUCGAUCUUGCCAAGAACUUUUAUUUGUUUGUUGUUAAUUCCCUUAAUCUAUUUCUUAAUAUUCUUCCUAAUUCAUACUAGCCAUAGACUUUCUUUUCUUAAUUCCCUUAAAGGGAGAUUAUAUAUUUUAACUCUUCAACUCUCAAUUUAGUUGUUUUAAUCAGGCAGAUAAGGCUUGAGAAGUUGAAUUAGGGAGCCUUUUAGGUGAAGAGACAUAACUUCAUUAGUAGAUCCUACUAAUUUCCCCCCUAUGAAAACUGCUGGAACUGAGGCAUUACAACCCAUUCUCAUAAGAGCUUUCUCCAUAUCUUUUCCCUCAGAAUCAUGAUCAAGUUCAUGAACAUAUGGAUCAACACCAAGAUCUCGAAAUAGUAUAGUAACCGCGUAACAUAAACAACAUGUACUCUUGCUGAAGAUCACUACCCCGUUCUCUGACGCCAUUCUUUGUACUUUGUCCAUUUCUUGAUAAUUAUGUCGUGAAAGAUGAAAGACGUAGUACGAUGAAAUUGAAUUAAAAGAAGACGGUAGGGGUAGUUUUUCUAAAACUAGGGUUCCUUUCUUUGUUUGGUUUAAUUCACUACUAAGUGGAAUCAGACUCUCAAUUCCUAUUUAUAUUGGUUGUAAUAAGCUUUAAAUUCUGCAAGCAACGCAGUUUGAAAGCUUUGUAGCCAGAAGAUAGAUUUUUACGAGCUAAACUUGGAAUUUAGGUAUCUGAGAGGGUAAAUAAAACUAUUUUUUAGUAUACCAUCGGAUCUAAGUUCAAUUGAACUUGAACAUCGAUCCGAUGGUUGACAAUUUGAUGCUAGAAGAGAUGAAGGAGAAACAAAGAGCAAGAAAAAAUGUUUGACAAAUAUUAGGGUUAAUUUCUUAGAGGUUGCUUGGAAAUGGAGAGUUUUCAUUGCUACACUAUUUAUAAAAGAGUAAAAUGGAACAUCUAAUUUAGUAACUAUGAAAGUGGAGUCCUCUCUCUAAUUUGUAAAAAUUCAAAAG